rnacentral:rRNA from 1 species
ACGGUGAGUAACACGUAUCCAACCUGCCGUCUACUCUUGGCCAGCCUUCUGAAAGGAAGAUUAAUCCAGGAUGGCAUCAUGAGUUCACAUGUCCGCAUGAUUAAAGGUAUUUUCCGGUAGACGAUGGGGAUGCGUUCCAUUAGAUAGUAGGCGGGGUAACGGCCCACCUAGUCAACGAUGGAUAGGGGUUCUGAGAGGAAGGUCCCCCACAUUGGAAUUGAGACACGGUCCAA